GAUGAACGCUGGCGGCGUGCUUAACACAUGCAAGUCGAACGGAAAGGCCAGUGCUUGCACUGGUACUCGAGUGGCGAACGGGUGAGUAACACGUGGGUGAUCUGCCCUGUACUUCGGGAUAAGCUUGGGAAACUGGGUCUAAUACCGGAUAGGACAACUUUUUGGAUAUUGUUGUGGAAAGCUUUUGCGGUAUGGGAUGAGCUCGCGGCCUAUCAGCUUGUUGGUGGGGUAAUGGCCUACCAAGGCGUCGACGGGUAGCCGGCCUGAGAGGGUGUACGGCCACAUUGGGACUGAGACACGGCCCAGACUCCUACGGGAGGCAGCAGUGGGGAAUAUUGCACAAUGGGCGCAAGCCUGAUGCAGCGACGCCGCGUGGGGGAUGAAGGCCUUCGGGUUGUAAACUCCUUUCGCUAGGGACGAAGCUUUUUUGUGACGGUACCUGGAGAAGAAGCACCGGCUAACUACGUG
rnacentral:rRNA from 1 species